GCUGAGGUGGCGGAAUUGGUAGACGCGGUGGGCUUAAGCCCCACUGAGGAUUAUACCUCAUGGGAGUUCGAGUCUCCCCCUCAGCA
rnacentral:tRNA from 1 species